rnacentral:misc_RNA from 1 species
AAAUGAAAACUUUUCCUUAUGCUAAUUCGGUCGGAAGUCUAAUGUAUGCUAUGAUGUGUACAAAAUUUGAUAUUUGCUAUGCAUGGUAAGUAGAUGUCAAUUUGAGUUUGGUCAAUCACAUUAGAAAGUAGUGAAAAGAAUAGUGAGGUAUCUCAAGGGCACAAAUGAUUACUCAUUGUGUUAUUGAGGAAAAGAUCUGCAAUUAAGAGGCUAUACGAUG